GGUCCAAAGGUAGUGAGUUAUCUCACUUGAUUGUUCGCAGUCAGUUAUGGAUUGAACUCCUUGUUCCACUACUUUUCCCCCCUUCUCACUACUGCACUUGAUGAGUCUAAA
rnacentral:Y_RNA from 1 species